rnacentral:rRNA from 1 species
GACGAACGCUGGCGGCGUGCCUAAUACAUGCAAGUCGAGCGCAGGAAAUCGACGGAACCCUUCGGGGGGAAGUCGACGGAAUGAGCGGCGGACGGGUGAGUAACACGUAAAGAACCUGCCCUCAGGUCUGGGAUAACCACGAGAAAUCGGGGCUAAUACCGGAUGGGUCAUCGGACCGCAUGGUCCGAGGAUGAAAGGCGCUUCGGCGUCGCCUGGGGAUGGCUUUGCGGUGCAUUAGCUAGUUGGUGGGGUAAUGGCCCACCAAGGCGACGAUGCAUAGCCGACCGGAGAGGGUGAUCGGCCACGCUGGGACUGAGACACGGCCCAGACUCCUACGGGAGGCAGCAGUAGGGAAUCUUCCACAAUGGACGAAAGUCUGAUGGAGCAACGGCGCGUGAACGAUGAAGGCCUUCGGGUCGUAAAGUUCUGUUGUAAGGGAAGAACAAGUGCCGCAGGCAAUGGCGGCACUUUGACGGUACCUUGCGAGAAAGCCACGGCUAACUACGUGCCAGCAGCCGCCGUAA